rnacentral:rRNA from 1 species
GAUGAACGCUGGCGGCGUGCUUAACACAUGCAAGUCGAACGGUGAAGCCAAGCUUGCUUGGUGGAUCAGUGGCGAACAGGUGAGUAACACGUGAGCAACCUGCCCUGGACUCUGGGAUAAGCGCUGGAAACGGCGUCUAAUACUGGAUAUGAGCUCCUACCGCAUGGCGGGGGUUGGAAAGAUUUUUUGGUCUGGGAUGGGCUCGCGGCCUAUCAGCUUGUUGGUGAGGUAAUGGCUCACCAAGGCGUCGACGGGUAGCCGGCCUGAGAGGGUGACCGGCCACACUGGGACUGGGACACGGCCCAGACUCCUACGGGAGGCAGCAGUGGGGAAUAUUGCACAAUGGGCGAAAGCCUGAUGCAGCAACGCCGCGUGAGGGAUGACGGCCUUCGGGUUGUAAACCUCUUUUAGCAGGGAAGAAGCGAAAGUGACGGUACCUGCAGAAAAAGCGCCGGCUAACUACGUGCCAGCAGCCGCCGUAA